UCUCUUUCUCGUGUCUCAUCUAUGAUCUUCAUGAUCCGUAGGACUCCGAUGGGAACUGGAUCCCUGGGGCGAUGUUCAUUGUUAUCUAUCUCGUCGGCGCCGCCGCCAUCUUAUCCGAAAAAGGCGAACUCAGGGUCUCCGCCGACAUGGACAUCACCUACCUCUCUCCGGCCAAGAUCGAUGAUGAGGUGGAGGUGGAUGCUCGAGUGCUAGGGCACAAGGGGGAGGGUGUCGGCAGUGCUUGUGGAGCUUCAGAAGAAGAGAAAUGACGAAAUGGUGGCACUGGGCAAGCUCUGGAUGGCAUCAGGACGGCCAUUGAUCAAAUCCAGCAAACUUUGAAGAUCAAAACCCUAAUUUUGUGCUGCAGGGCCGGCUAGAGGGGUGUGGGCAUAUCAGAGGCACAUGCAAAAGACAAACGUGCACAUCAUGGCUCUCAACCUUGUAAGAAGAGUUUCAUCGAAGCCAAAAGAGAAGCAAACAAUGCAUGAACUCCUUACGCCACCAUCCACCCUCGGAAUAAGUUGUGGAGACAAUGAUCUCUUCCUCAUCUUUCUCUGAAUUAUGUGUUUUAUGUGUGUGUUGAGUUCAGUCUUAGACUGAUUUUAUGAGUAUGCAACUGUGAAGAAUAUUUUGUUAAUCAUUGUUUGCUAAGUUGAGAGCUUCUCUUGUGGCUUACACACAUA